GGACGACAUNCGAUCGCUUAGUGAGACCGAGUGUUAAGCAAAGCUCAAUUGACCCUGGGNUGUAACGGUGUCCGAGUUGUAAUUUGAAGAUUGUAACCUUGGGGUUGGCUCUUGUCUAUGUUUCUUGGAACAGGACGUCACAGAGGGUGAGAAUCCCGUGCGAUGAGAUGCCCAAUUCUAUGUAAGGUGNUUUCCGAAGAAGUCGAGUGUUGGGAAUGCAGCUCUAAGUGGGUGGUAAAUCCAUCUAAAGCUAAAUAUUGGCGAGAGACCGAUAGCGAACAAGUACAGUGAUGGAAAGAUGAAAAGAACUUUGAAAAGAGAGUGAAAAAGUACGUGAAAUUGUUGAAAGGGAAGGGUUUGAGAUCAGACUCGAUAUUUUGUGAGCCUUGCCUUCGUGGCGGGGUGACCCGCAGCUUAUCGGGCCAGCAUCGGUUUGGGCGGUAGGAUAAUGGCGUAGGAAUGUGACUUUACUUCGGUGAAGUGUUAUAGCCUGCGUUGAUGCUGCCUGCCUAGACCGAGGACUGCGAUUUUAUCAAGGAUGCUGGCAUAAUGAUCCCAAACCGC
rnacentral:rRNA from 1 species